rnacentral:rRNA from 1 species
UACGGAGGGAGCUAGCGUUGUUCGGAAUUACUGGGCGUAAAGCGCACGUAGGCGGCUUUUUAAGUUAGAGGUGAAAGCCCGGGGCUCAACCCCGGAAUUCCUUUAAGACUGCAUCGCUUGAAUCCGGGAGAGGUGAGUGGAAUUCCGAGUGUAGAGGUGAAAUUCGUAGAUAUUCGGAAGAACACCAGUGGCGAAGGCGGCUCACUGGACCGGUAUUGACGCUGAGGUGCGAAAGCGUGGGGAGCAAACAGG